rnacentral:rRNA from 1 species
ACGAACGCUGGCGGCGUGCUUAACACAUGCAAGUCGAACGAAGAGCGAUGGAAGCUUGCUUCUAUCAAUCUUAGUGGCGAACGGGUGAGUAACGCGUAAUCAACCUGCCCUUCAGAGGGGGACAACAGUUGGAAACGACUGCUAAUACCGCAUACGAUCUAAUCUCGGCAUCGAGGAUAGAUGAAAGGUGGCCUCUACAUGUAAGCUAUCACUGAAGGAGGGGAUUGCGUCUGAUUAGCUAGUUGGAGGGGUAACGGCCCACCAAGGCGAUGAUCAGUAGCCGGUCUGAGAGGAUGAACGGCCACAUUGGGACUGAGACACGGCCCAGACUCCUACGGGAGGCAGCAGUGGGGAAUCUUCCGCAAUGGACGAAAGUCUGACGGAGCAACGCCGCGUGAGUGAUGACGGCCGUCGGGUUGUAAAGCUCUGUUAAUCGGGACGAAAGGCCUUCUUGCGAAUAGUGAGAAGGAUUGACGGUACCGGAAUAGAAAGCCACGGCUAACUACGUG